AUGCCACUCCCAAGUCUCAAGAAGUGUUGUAUUUGGAGGUAAAUAGGCAAUACAAUACAAAUACAACAAAAUAUAAUUCGAGUAGCCUACUUUUUGGGUACUCCAACUCAGUUGCCAUCAACCAUGUCUCCCUCCAACUGUUUCCUGUGCCUACAACUGUUUUAGAAUAAAAGUCCUUGCUACAAUAAUUCACUAUUAAAUAGCCUUAUUAAACUGUUUAAACUCAUCAUGUGUAUUUCUGCAUCCCUUCUCACUGACGGCAGUUCGCGCCUUUAGUAACACACAAACUGGUGUAUGGUCCUAAGAUAGACUAGCACUGACGACCCAACCCCCCACUGCUGUAACACGUGAUCGUAGUUCGCGCCUUCAUUUAAACACAAACUGGUGUAUGGUCCUAAGAUAUACCUUAAUGUACCCCUCCCCCAAUUUCAACCUGGCAAGUUCGCGGGAUAUCUCCUCACCUAAUGCAAAAGUUUGGAUAACAAGACUUGGAUGGAUGGUCAAGACUGAUGUAUGAAUGCAUGCAGAGAAGCCAUGGAGUCAGCUAAUGACAGCACAAUUUCACAGCAAUGGUCAGAGAAGGAAGAGCCAGAGCCACCUCCUCUAGAAAGGACAGACAGCGUAUUC